GGCGGCGUGACCGCCCCGCCCCCCGGCGCCCGCCCCUCCUGCUGCUCAGCCAGGCUCCGCGAGCCGCAGGGCGGGGAAGCGGGACGUACCAAGCGGCAGGCGGCGGAGGGGUGCGGGCCGGAACUCCGCCCUUCGUGCUGGUCGGUCUCCACGCCCCACUCGGACUAGUGUCACCGCCUCCCCGCCGCAGACACUAUCCGACAAAGGAGGGGGAAUCAAAGGCUGGGCGAAGAGGCAGGGCAGGCGCCGGUGACGCUGCUGGGCAAGCGGGCUCUGCAGUAGCAUUUGUGGCGACCGUGGCAGUGGCUGUGACUGGAAGCUUCUGGAAAUGGCGGCGAUGAGGACCCCCACAUAGGGUAUUCACCUGUUAUUUUUACACGGGGUGGGUGGACGAGCGUGAUCCAACUCAGGCAAAAUGACGCUGCGACCGCAGCCCGAGGACUAGGCGAAGUUCCCCCGCUAAGCCGGCGGCGGCCGUCUGGCCCCGCACCAGGCCGGAGAAGCUGCACCUACGCCCAGAGCCCGCGGCCCCCCGCCUCAGGUGGGGCCCUGGGCCCCGCCCCGAAAGCGCGGUAGCGUGCACCUGCCCUGGCACCAGGGGGUCUAGAGCGCGUCCCCUCCCAGCCACGCCUUCCAGUGGCCUUUUUAAAGAGGAAUUCAGUGCACCCUCCCACACGUAGUGUUGGGGAUUUGAGAGGGAGCUGCUCAGGUACUAGGAAGGGUGCCGGAGGAAAAUUGACCGUCGCAGCGUGGCAGCAGCGUGUACUCACUCCCUUCUGGGCGCGUUAUUUACGUAGAGGUUAAUCUGCAACAACAGCGUCUGUUUAUGACUUAGUGCAUGCAGUUACAAGUUUAUGUUACACUGUCCUUUAACGUCUUGAUGAACUGAGGGUUCAGGUGUGAUCACAGCAGAUGAAGUGACAUUCAGACCUGACAGGGACGGCGAGGUCCCAUCAAAUUACUAUGUAAAGCAUAAACCUGCAUUAAAGAUCAGGAGUUUUUCCUUUCCUGGGUUCCUGAUUUCUCCCACCUACAAAUCUUUAGGGUCAACAAGACUAGAAAAAGAGCACCUUAUGGCUAGAGGUGGAAUAGUGUUACAUUUAACUUGGUUAUUUAUGAUGUGAAAUACAAAGAAAAAAACAGUCGCCUAUGAGAAAGUCAGGAGAGCUCCAGGUUUCCAAACCAGGAUGGCCAUAGCAGCCACAAAAGGAAGCAAACAAGAACAAGUCCUGAUGGAGCAAUUUAUGAAGACAGGCAGCAUAGAGGGAGAAGAACCUGUCUGUCAACCCCACACACGCUUUCCCAGUUCUGAAUCAAGGACGUAUCCCUGAAUCUGGGGAGCUCUCUAUCAAAAUAUACAUGCUGGAACCCUACCAAAGGAAUAAUAAAUCUGGAAUGAGGCUCUGACUGUCUAAUUAGGAAAAGACUCCUUCCUGGAAUUCUGCACAUCUCCCUACACCUUAGUGACGGUUAAAUAAAUAAUUAUUAAGCUUCU
rnacentral:lncRNA from 1 species